CACUUCCAAAGCAUAAUUUUUGGUGGUGCCAUGAUGAGGGAUGAGAAGGAGGACACGUUCAAGUGGAUUUUUAAAGAGUUCAUCCGUAUGGUGGGCGGGAAACACCCACAGACAAUCCUAACUGAUCAAGCACGUGCGAUGGAGCUGGCUAUUGAGGCUGAACUACCAAACACAGUACACCGUUGGUGCAAGUGGCAUGUUCUGAAGAAAGCAAAGGAGUCGAUGGGUGUGCUGUGGAGCAAGAACAGUGACUUUAAGAUGGAGUUCCACAAGCUAGUCCAUCACAUGAUCACAGAGGAAGAAUUUGAAGCUGGUUGGCAGCAGAUGCUGGAAAGGUACUCCCUGAAGAAGCAUCCAUUCUUGACGCAGAUAUAUGAGGUGCGCCAUAAGUGGGCAAAGCCAUAUUUUAGAGGAGUGCUUUGUGCGAAAAUGACUAGCACACAGCGGAGCGAGAGUGCAAAUCACAUGUUGAAAGGUUACGUGCCGCCAGGGUGUCCUAUGCACCUGUUUUUGAAACAAUUUGAGAAACUCCAAUUUGACAGGGAGUCGGAGCAGAGCUUCCAAGAGAAGAGAGCAUUGCUGAGUGGUGUGUCGCUUAGAAAUAACCUGCCAUUAGAAAGGCAUGCUAGCAAGGUGUACACGAGAGCUAUGUUUGAGAAGUUCGGUGAAGAGCUGUAUAAGUGUGGUGCACAUGUAUUGGAUGAGAUUGUACCAAGGAAGGUUUACAGAUCAACACAUGUAGAUGCUGCAGCAAGAGAGAAAUGGAGUAAGGUUGAGUUCACAAUCGAAGUGGAUGAUGAAGAGAGUUUUUUCAGUUGUUAUGGUCCACUUCCGCCUGUCGAAGAUACCAGA
rnacentral:rRNA from 1 species